rnacentral:ncRNA from 2 species
CCGCAAAAACUAAAUAAAGGCAGUGAGGUGACAGGGGAAGUCCGGUUAGAGACCGGCGCUGUGCCGCAACGGUAAGCAGUCUAACUGCUGAGCCCGAAUACCUGCCCUCACGGUGUCAGCAGG